UACGUAGGGGGCUAGCGUUGUCCGGAAUCAUUGGGCGUAAAGAGCGUGUAGGCGGUCCGGUAAGUCCGCUGUGAAAGUCGGGGGCUCAACCUCGAGACGUCGGUGGAAACCGUUUGGCUAGAGUCCGGAAGAGGAGAGUGGAAUUCCUGGUGUAGCGGUGAAAUGCGCAGAUAUCAGGAAGAACACCCGUGGCGAAGGCGGCUCUCUGGGACGGUACUGACGCUGAGACGCGAAAGCGUGGGGAGCGAACAGG
rnacentral:rRNA from 1 species